rnacentral:rRNA from 1 species
AUCAAACUGUGGGUGCAAAGAUUCAUAGUUAAAAGGGAAAAGCCCUAAUCUUUAGUUAAGGUUCUUAAAUAUAAUGUAAUGAAAAGUAAAAAUAAAUGACGAUAACUUAGAGGUAGGCUUAGAAGCAGCCAUCCUUUAAAGAAAGCGUAACAGCUCAUAAGUUGAGUUUAUUUUUACAUUAAUGUAAGGAACUCUAAUUAUAUACCGAAACUAAGAUAAUCUAAAAAUUAGGUAGUAGAACGACUUAUAAUUUAUAAAUAAAGUAAUUUAUUUUAAUAAUUAUUUUUUGUAGAAUGUUGAUAUGAGUAACGUAAAUAAUGUACAAAACAUUAUCACCGUAUAUCCUAUGGUUCCUUUGAAAAGAUGUUCUUGAAAGGGUUAAACGGCCCCUUAAACUACAUUAUAUUGAUGGGUUACUUAAGAAAAAUAAUAAUUCAUAAAAUAAUAAAAGUAAUAAAGUAGAAAAAAAAAAUAAGAAGAACAG